rnacentral:tRNA from 1 species
GCUUUCGCGGCCCUGUUAGUUAGUGCAUCGUACUUAUAAGCAGUACUUGUGUAUAUGCGAAGGUCGAGGGUUCGAGCCCCUGCGAGAGCA